UUAUACCUUAUACGUGAGGAAGUGAUGCUUCUCAUAAUCCAUGCCUGCCGAGUCCUCCACCAGAAUUGUGACUUGGGCCUCGUUCAGUACCGUCUGUGGGACCACACGUAGCAUUCUUCCAGGACCAAUGAGCCUCAGGCUUACCUUCUACAAAAGAAUAACGAAUUGGAUUUGGGUUCCCCACAUCGCCAUCUUUGGCCACAACGGUGAAAAUUUCAGACCCCUGGGAAAAGUCUACUUACUGUCAUGCACUUGAGCGUGGGAAAGGAGAUCAACAGUCAGUCACAAACGCAGUUCAGCACACUGACGCAGAAGCUGCUGUUGGUCACAGCUCACACUCACACACAGACUUGCUGCUCACUUCAUA